UUUAUUAUUUAUUGUUCGCUGACAUGAACUUGUACGUCUCAAGUUAACGGCAUGACAAUAUUCAAAUUCUGAGAAGGAGUCAUGAAUCACCUCUGAGUUAUUCCCCCACCACUCGGCAGAUCGUUUCAUUCCAAAGUUGAUAUGACAGACUCCGAGGAAAUACUGUUUACAUUGACUCAAACAAUUAGGUUUUUCCCCUUAGAUUUGGAAAUACUUUAAGUGAGUAAAUGUUACAGACAGUUUAUCAUUUAUGGUUCGCUGUACGCACUGUAGCCUAUACGUGUAAUAAGUCAAUGGCAUGACAAUAUUUAGAUUCCGGGAAGGAACUAUAUUUAAAUUCCGAGAAGGAAUCAUGAAUCGUCUCCGAGUUAUACUUCAUCACUCGGCAGAGCGUUUCAUUCGAAAGGGUUACUUGAGUUGACGGGCUUAUAUGUGAAUGAGCCGCCUCGAAAAUGAGUACAUGCUGUCCUACGUAUGCUCACAAGGAAUACCAGCAAAAAAGCAAACUUUACAGCGAGUUCCAUCAUCAAGCAGUUUACAAGGACAUCUUUUGAUGCAUGCAGCAAAUGUGCAGUUGAAGUUGUAGUUGAAGGAGUGGCUUUUUCUUAGAAAAUGGAUCGAACGUAUCCUACGACAUCACCUGGUAGUCUUGCAUGCUUACACAACUCUCUCUGUGAGUGCUGAUUGGUCAAAAGAAAAAGGAUUUAACCUUAUUGGUUGACUCACAAGACUUGAACCAAUCAUAUGUUGUUUCAGAUUCUCUUUCGUGACACUCGUGGAACCAGAUGUUUGCAGGAUUUUUUGAUCUUGUGGGUUAGCUUUUUUCUUUGUUUUAAAAAGGAAAACAUUUUUGCGGCUCAAGAUGACCGAAAUUUCGUUGAUUUUGAGGAUUUCUGCUCCAUCAGCUAAACAAUAAUAAGAUUAUCUAAUAAUCAUUAAAUCAAUAUGUAAUUGUAUCGAUAAGGAAGAUAAUUCGAGUAGUCAGAAUAUUGCUAGAAAAAGCGAGGAUUUACUGCUUCUUGCUGGCUUUCUUCUUGGGAUGAAGUCGAUUAGCUACGAGUACAGCGGAUCCAGGACAUACGGAAAGGGUUCGGAUAAAUGGUUACCGAAAACCGGACAAUCCUAUGGGGGUCAGUGGGAAUGCCCCUGCAUUAUGUUUUUAAUUAUAGGUAUUCAAAAAAGUAAUUUCUGAUGUUUUUUUUUUAAAUAGACAAUAAAUUUGUACGGUUUUUAGGCGUUUUUCAGUUCGGUGUAUAUCCAAUCCAGCGCGUGUGAACUUAUGUUAAUGUUCCACUUACUUUCAAUUAGAAAUUUAAGAUAAACUAGAUUUUAUUGUCAAAUUAAAUGCGACCUGAGGUGAAAGCACCAUUUUGAAGCCGGCAAGACAACUGAAGGAACCACCACUGAAACUGAUAGUGUUCGCUAUAGUAUUUCUGAUUUCCGAGAUGUUUUCAAUUUUUCUAUUGUAAUUGCAAAUUUUCAGCCUCCUUAUCCCCCUAAAAAGACUGCAGCUUGGAAAUUUGCCUUGUUUCUCUAUGAGGGAUAUCUAUUAAAAUGUUCAGAAAGAUGUGUUUGUAAUUGAUUAUGAGACAACGAACUGUUCAAAAUGAAGAGGUUCUGCAUCCCUAGAAAGCGGUCCGAGUACGCAAUUGCCUUUUUCACCCCUCUCCCCUUGCCUCAAUAAGGUACCCUGGAACAGAAAAAUUGGACAGAUUAUCAUGAAGACGCCAAUAGUGAGACCACUGGAGAUGAAGGGAUCAAGCUCAGUACAAAAACCUUUAAAGCUAAUGUUCUUGAAACUAGCGCAAAAGCGUAGUACGACAAUUAACAUCCUUAUCAUCAAAAAAGACAGCAAAUUGGUUUAUUUAUAUAUAACUUCACAAGUAUUUUCAUAAUUCAUUUCCCCUUUCUAUAAAUGUUUUUCUUCUCGAGAGGCAUGAAUAUGGCUUGACGGUUUUUUU